AGCUCUGGUGGUCUAGUGGUUAGAGCAUCCACCUCGGAUGUUUGAGGUCAUGGGUUUGAUCCCCGGUCGAGUCA